rnacentral:rRNA from 1 species
AACGAACGCUGGCGGCAUGCCUAACACAUGCGAGUCGAACGAGACCUUCGGGUCUAGUGGCGCACGGGUGCGUAACGCGUGGGAACCUUCCCUUAUGUUCGGAAUAACUCCCCGAAAGGGGUGCUAAUACCGGAUAAUGUCUUCGGACCAAAGAUUUAUCGCCUUUGGAGGGGCCCGCGUUGGAUUAGCUAGUUGGGAGGGUAAAAGCCUAUCAAGGCGAGGAUCCAUAGCUGGUCUGAGAGGAUGAGCAGCCACACUGGGACUGAGACACGGCCCAGACUCCUACGGGAGGCAGCAGUGGGGAAUAUUGGACAAUGGGCGAAAGCCUGAUCCAGCAAUGCCGCGUGAGUGAUGAAGGCCGUAGGGUUGUAAAGCUCUUUUACCCGGGAUGAUAAUGACAGUACCGGGAGAAUAAGCACCGGCUAACUCCGUG